CAGCAAACAGCCUACGUUGCUCGUCUGCUUUGUCCUGAACGCAGCGACUACUCCGUCUUUGAUCUGCCGCCAGCAGAGCCAACCCGCCCGGCCGCCCGGAGCCACCGCCGGACCGCCCUGACGCCAAGCGGCCAGCCAGCCCCCUCGCCGCCCGGCCGGCUGCUACCCGAACUGCCGGAGCCGCCCAAUCCGCUCAGGUGCUAAGCCCGUCAGCUUCUUCCGAGAGAGCAGCUUCUCUAGUCCUUCGCGCUCCUUGGGUUCACGGGAGUCGGGAGACUGGACGCGUGCAGCAGCCCCGAUUUCAGUUUAUCCCGAGACUGAAGUCAGAAUUAUUGAAGAAUGAAGAGGACCACGGACAUUCAAAAAACGAGGACCACCCUGAUUUUAAAUCCUAGCUCCGCCACUGUAGGUUGCACAUCUUCUGCUUCGCCAUCUCUCUCCCCUAUCUUUUACCCCUUGAUUUCCCUUGUUCUUUGAUAAUAUGAUUUUAGUUUCUUGAUUUAUGUGUGAAGAUUGUAUGAAGAAUACAAGAGGAAGGACCUUGAGGAAGACUGAAGAACAAGUUUAUAGCCUCAGCGGGGAGCACAUGACAUCGAUGCCAUCACUGAGCUCAAGAUGGUGCCUUGCAAUGUUCUCUUCAAUACAUCAAUGUCACUUCCAAAGCGGAGUCCCUCCUAGAGGAUAGUCUCUAUUAUCAUAAGGGCGAGUGUCCAACUUGCUCUACAUAAUACAAUGAUGCCUUUAUUAGUAUCUUGUGCGGGUUAUCAGAGACAAGAACACAAUCUUGGAGUACAUGGACAUCAACGCUGAAGGUGUCGGCAGCAAUGACCUGAGUCUCUAGAUGAAGCUUUUGUGGCCAGCAAUGAAAACUGCUUAAAGAUCACAGAUUUGAGAAGGCUUGUUCAUGCUGGAUUGCUAAGGCCUAUGCUCCAGGUGAUAUUUUUAAUUGUUUUUCUUGCAAUCUGAAAACAUUAUCUUCUUAAUCUGUUGUAGUUAACACAAAGGAUUAUUCUGUCUAACAUAUACUUUGCUUGGGAAGUUAAUAAGCCAAGCCUUCAAUUUUGUUUUGGUUUUCAGAGCUUUAGCGUCUGAAUGCAUUCUAGAUCGGGGCCCUUGAUGUGUGUUUUAAUUGUCAGCUUCCUUCUUGGAAGUGCAUGCUCCGUUGAGGCAUGUACCAUUUACAAUGAUAUAAAUUGAAAAGCAAGUUCCAUGUUUGUAUUAAAUGUCAACUUUUCAACAUUUUCAUUUCAUUUUAUCCUUUUUAUGCUCCAUUAUUCCGGUGGAAAUGAAGCACACCCCUCCCUGCAUCAUGUAUCAUGUUUCUCAAGGUUAUCCUGGUCCAAUUUGCUUUGUUUGCACAUACGUACACAACUUCGGUGGCAUGCAAAUGCUUACUUAUUUGACUUCCUUGGUUAGUGUCUGAUUAUUUAUUUGAUAGCACUAUGUUCUAAAAUAAUCAUGUAUAGGCCUCUGUUUCAAAGAGGCAAACAAAUUGUAUUUUAAGUGUUGCUUAUCUCAAGGUGAAUACAAGAAUACAACACUGGAGAGGUGUAUGCACACAAGAGCUUCUUUGUUCUCUUCUAAUUGGCUGCCAUGUGCAGCCUGCAGGUCUAAGCUAAUGAAAGCAUGGACUUCAACAUUUAAGUGAUGAGGCAGCUAAGUGUACAUAAGUCAAAUUCAACACAUUAAGUCUGAGUAGGUAUUUUUGGUAUUUCUUCUUGUAAAGUUGGUGAAUUGCCAUUGCAAGAAGGUAAUUUUUCGCCUUUUCACAUGUUCAAGCAUAUGUGUGUAGAUUAAAAGUUCUGUUGUGCCUUUUGAGAUACAAGGCAUGGUUUAUGUAAAUUUUAGUUUCCUUCAGUGACAUAUUAAUAGAUAUGUAUGGGUUGUCACCCUACUUUUCAAAUCAAUUUGUGUAUUUGAGAUGCCACAUUUUUGAUUAGUAGUUGUUCAGAGAACUAGAUGUUUGCCCUAGAUAAUAUUUGUUAUUGUUUAAUAUUUCUGAAUCUCUGCUGGAAUUCUAACCCUCAAUUAAUAGCAAGGUGUGCCGAUUGAUAAAUAGUGUUGUGUUUGGUCCGUGUCUAGCAGUUGGCAUAUUGACCUAUAUUUUUCCUAUAAUAAUGUCCAUAAUUUGCAUUCAGCUGAUAUUAGAUUUGGCUAAAAGAUAAAGAGACAUAUAUAGGAAUGUUGGUUGCAAACUUACCUCUUUCUAUUGUGUUGUUGGCUUUUAGGAUAGGUUGAGGAGAGUUGCCAAUGCACGAAGGUAAAAUUUCCCAUAUUAGGAGGCAAUCAGUGCAUGACUUAAUUUAAGAAUAUAUAGGUGUUCAUGCUCAUGGUUGUGCUGCCCGUUGGCACUAAAAUGUCUAGAACAUCAUUGACCUACCUAUUUGUGCUGUUUAGUCAUGUAGCAUGUAUGUGAAUUAUUAACGGACUAAUGAAUUUGUUCAUAACAAUUGACGUUUCUACCUGGAACUUCUGAUUUUAGCAAAAUGAUUGCUCUUUACCCAUGAUUAUUACCAUUUGAUCGUAAGAUAGUUCACAUAUUCUAAUAGGUAAUUACAUAAUUUUAGUUCGCCCAUAUACCCUGAUUGUAUAUAUCAGCAAUUACUUUAUUUUUGACUACACAAAUUGAGCUUUAUAUUUCCUUUCCGGUGUGCCAAAACCUCAUGCACUGCACCAUGCUUCAAUUGCCUUGGGUUUUCGUUGCUUCUUUUGUGUGUUUGUCCUCAAAUUUUGGAAGAGGCGGGCUCAAGUGUGAUUGUAGUAACAAAUCAUUGGUGACCGAGCGGAGUUUGAUAGGUUGCAAAUGCAUGUUCUUUUGAAAUUCAUAAAUAAAUUCUGAAUGUUACCAACUGCAAGGCAAUUGAAUACUAAUAAUUGAUGCAGUCUGAUGCAGUCUGCUCGGUGUUCUUUUUUGGUAGGAGAGAAAAAAUUGGUGUCUUUGACACACUUGGGAUUUACGGAUCGGUUAUGCCAUGGUUGGAUGUGAAUGGGACAUUGUACAUCCAAAUUUUGUUUGGUUGAUCAGAAUAUUUGUCCGUUUGGCUGUCUUAAUGCAAUCCCAUUCGCAUAAAUUUGGCAAACAUCAGCAAAGAAUUCAGUGGCAGGGAGUGUUUGCCAUAGUGGAAACGAAGCAAAAAUUGGACGGAGCUCACAAUUUUGCUACUACCUUACUAAUAGCUUUGUCAGGAUUAAUAUUGGUGCCAAGGCCACCAGCUCUGCAAAGAAAGCAAGGCAGUAGCUCUUCCAUGCCCUAGGUUGGGUGGGUACAUACGGGUAUUUUUGUGUGUUCCACUUGCUUCUCAAGCUCGAUGUGCCGCUAGGAGGUUGUGUUGCUGAAGGGAGCUUCUUCACUAUAUCACAUUGCAGCAGUGGUCUAGCCAUCCAGUCUCAAGAUCGUACCUUGGCACACUCUUGGGCAUGCACCUGAUGUAUUUUAUGCAUGUUUGCAAGGCAAGACUUUGACACUUGAAGAAUUACGUCAAGCCAAUGUCAAUACCAAUCCCCUUAUUUACGUCCCUGAACAAAUGGACUCCUAUGCGUUGUAGAUAUCAUCGUUGGCCCAACGGGCGAUGACUCUACUUGAUAUUCAUCGCUGCAUACCUUACUCACGUAAGCUAAAUGACCAAAGCUUUCUAUAUGAUGGACCUCUGCCUAUGUAGCUUUGUUUCAUAAAAGCAAUGUAAAUAAGCUAUCAUGAACUGAUAUCAUACCUUUCUUAUAUAUGCUAUGUAUGAACUUCAUAUCUAAA